AAUGAACGCUGGCGGCAUGCCUUACACAUGCGAGUCGAACGGCAGCACGGGUGCUUGCACCUGGUGGCGAGUGGCGAACGGGUGAGUAAUACAUCGGAACGUACCUUAUCGUGGGGGAUAACGCAGCGAAAGUUGCGCUAAUACCGCAUACGCCCUGAGGGGGAAAGUGGGGGACCGCAAGGCCUCACGCGAUUAGAGCGGCCGACGUCGGAUUAGCUAGUGGGUAGGGUAAAGGCCUACCAAGGCGUCGAUCAGUAGCUGGUCUGAAAGGACGAUCAGCCACACUGGGACGGAGACACGGGCCAGACGCCUACGGGAGGCAGCAGUGGGGAAUUUUGGACAAUGGGGGCAACCCGGAUCCAGCAAUGCCGCGUGAGUGAAGAAGGCCUUCGGGUUGUAAAGCUCUUUUGUCAGGGAAGAAACAGCAGCUCUAAUAAAGCAUGCGAAUGACGGUACCUGAAGAAUAAGCACCGGCUAACUACGUGCCAGCCGCCGCAGUAA
rnacentral:rRNA from 1 species